rnacentral:rRNA from 1 species
AUUGAACGCUGGCGGCAGGCCUAACACAUGCAAGUCGAGCGAGCGGCGGACGGGUGAGUAAUGUCUAGGAAACUGCCUGAUGGAGGGGGAUAACUACUGGAAAAGGUAUCUAAUACCGCAUACCAUCAGAUGUGCCCAGAUGGGAUUAGCUAGUAGGUGGGGUAAAGGCUCACCUAGGCGACGAUCCAUAGCUGGUCUGAGAGGAUUACCAGCCAAACUGGAACUGAGACACGGUCCAGACUCCUACGUGAGUCAGCAGUGGGGAAUAUUGGACAAGGGGCGAAAGCCUGAUGCAGCUAUGCCGGGUGUGUGAAGAAGGCCUUAGGGUUGUAAAGCACUUUCAGCGGGGAGGCGUUACCCGCAGAAGAAGCACCGGCUAACGCCGUGCCAGCCGCCGCGGUAAUAC